UCGGAACGAAAGGAAUUGUUCCAUGCCAACGCUUAACCUUAGUUGUAAUACGUACCAUCAAAGAUUCGCAUCAGAAGCAUUACCCAUUCGGAUCGAAAUAAUUUAUAUAGGUACUUUUUUUUGAAUAAAAGUUUUGAAAAUCCUUCAUGAAUAUGCCCGCCAUUAAAGCCUAUUUCUUCAUUUUAUUGGUUAUAGCGUUACAACUUUAUGCCGUUAAAUGCGGAGAAUCAGACCCACCAGAUGCUGGGAAUGCAGAUUCCGAUAUAUAUUCUGACAGUAUUUGGCUUGGUGCUGCCGUUGAUAGAGCAUACGACUAAAAUCGACAUGUCAAUUGUUUCUUAAUAUAAACACAUAUCCUGAUUUUCAACAAAAAUAAACCUAGGGCUACCUAAUAAUUUUCAUCCUUUUCAUAAUAAUUUCAGUACCCGAACCAUUACAUAAAACGCACUCAAGAUUGUAAAUUCUAUCUAGUUUAGUAAAAUUAAUUAAU